UGGCACCUAUGGGGUGCUGGACCCCAAAACGGAGCCCCCACCCCAUUCAUGGCACCUAUGGGGUGCGGGACCCCAUAACAGCACCUCCACCCCAUUAUGGGGUGUGGGACCCAUAACAGCACCUCGACCCCAUUCAUGGAACCUAUGGGGUGCGGGACCCCAAAAAGGCACCUCGACCCCAUUAUGGGGUGUGGGACCCCAUACCAGCACCUCGACCCCA
rnacentral:lncRNA from 1 species